UGCCACAGCCAUGUCACCCUGCAGCCCAAGACCGGUUACUCACUGAAGCUAAGCAGGGCUGAGCCUAGUCAGUACCUGGUGGGAGACCACUAGGGAACAAUAGGUUGGAAGUGGUGU
rnacentral:rRNA from 1 species